rnacentral:rRNA from 1 species
UAAUACGGAGGGGGCAAGCGUUAUUCGGAAUCAUUGGGCGUAAAGGGCGCGUAGGCGGCUUGGCAAGUCAAAGGUGAAAUCCCUCGGCCCAACCGAGGAACUGCCUUUGAAACUGCCUCGCUUGAGGCCGGGAGAGGGUAGCGGAAUUCCCAGUGUAGCGGUGAAAUGCGUAGAUAUUGGGAGGAACACCAGUGGCGAAGGCGGCUACCUGGACCGGUUCUGACGCUGAUGCGCGAAAGCGUGGGGAGCAAACAGGAUUAGAUAC